AUAUCAAUAAGCGGAGGAAAAGAAACCAACAGGGAUUGCCCUAGUAACGGCGAGUGAAGCGGCAACAGCUCAAAUUUGAAAUCUGGCCUUCUGGUCCGAGUUGUAAUUUGUAGAGGAUGAUUUUGGUGCGGUACCUUCCGAGUUCCCUGGAACGGGACGCCUUAGAGGGUGAGAGCCCCGUACGGUUGGAUGCCUAGCCUUUGUAAAUCUCCUUCGACGAGUCGAGUAGUUUGGGAAUGCUGCUCUAAAUGGGAGGUAAAUUUCUUCUAAAGCUAAAUACAAGCCAGAGACCGAUAGCGCACAAGUAGAGUGAUCGAAAGAUGAAAAGCACUUUGAAAAGAGGGUUAAACAGCAC
rnacentral:rRNA from 1 species